rnacentral:rRNA from 1 species
UACGUAGGUGGCAAGCGUUGUUCGGAAUUAUUGGGCGUAAAGGGCGCGUAGGCGGUUUGUUAAGUCGGUCGUGAAAGCCCGGGGCUCAACCCCGGAGGGUCGACCGAUACUGGCAGACUAGAGUACAGAAGAGGUAGCUGGAAUUCCCAGUGUAGCGGUGAAAUGCGCAGAUAUCAGGAGGAACACCGGUGGCGAAGGCGGGUCUCUGGGAAGUAACUGACGCUGAGAAGCGAAAGCAUGGGUAGCAAACAGG